CCCACCGCGUCCGUCACAGUUCGUUCACACCCGCUCCACUCGUCCGUGCUCCUCCUCCCCGCAGCCGAUCCCGUCGUGGAUGCAGCCGCGCGGGAGAUCGUUCAACCGCCGCUCCCGCAGCUUCUCCCGCGCCCGCCUCGCCGUCGAGGGCUCCUAAUCCCGCCCGCCUCCCGUAACGAACCAUCCCCUCUGAAUUCACGCGGGACAGCUCGCGUUAACGGCCACGCGAACGAAGAUGGACGCCGCCGCCGCCGCCGCCGAAAUCGCUGCCAACGGGGUGCUGGCGAAGCUGGAGGAGGAGAGGGAGGCGCAGAAGAGGUACUGGGAGGAGCACUCCAGGGACCUCACCGUCGAGGCCAUGAUGCUCGACUCCCGCGCCGCCGAUCUAGACAAGGAGGAGCGCCCCGAGGUGAUAACCCCAUGCCAUCGCCUCGUUUCCGUUCCCGUUGUUCAGUGAUAAUCGUUAAGUAAUAGCUACG